GACGAACGCUGGCGGCGUGCUUAACACAUGCAAGUCGAACGGAAAGGCCCUGCUUUUGUGGGGUGCUCGAGUGGCGAACGGGUGAGUAACACGUGAGUAACCUGCCCUUGACUUUGGGAUAACUUCAGGAAACUGGGGCUAAUACCGGAUAGGAGCUCCUGCUGCAUGGUGGGGGUUGGAAAGUUUCGGCGGUUGGGGAUGGACUCGCGGCUUAUCAGCUUGUUGGUGGGGUAGUGGCUUACCAAGGCGUUGACGGGUAGCCGGCCUGAGAGGGUGACCGGCCACAUUGGGACUGAGAUACGGCCCAGACUCCUACGGGAGGCAGCAGUGGGGAAUAUUGCACAAUGGGCGGAAGCCUGAUGCAGCAACGCCGCGUGCGGGAUGACGGCCUUCGGGUUGUAAACCGCUUUCGCCUGUGACGAAGCGUGAGUGACGGUAAUGGGUAAAGAAGCGCCGGCUAACUACGUG
rnacentral:rRNA from 1 species